UCCACGCAUACUCAACCUUCUCUCGAUAUUACAGCAUGUGUACUGCCGUUGUAAGCACACCUCUAAAAGAAUAAGUAUGCUAUAAUGACUAAUAAUUAGCUCAUAUACAUCAGGUCAAAGUGCAGCCAAUAAGAAGGUGAUGAUGGGUUACAACCCCAAAACAGACUAUCAACUAAGAAAUGAAAAAUCUUAUGAAAGUGGACUUGGCCGUAAUAAAUUUACAAGUUAAAAAAAUGAAUAAAAAUCUAAGACAUGCACACAUCGCCCGUCACUCUACCCCAAAGGUUAGAUAAGUCGUAACAAAGUAGGUGUAAUGGAAAUUGCACCUGUCGGAGUAUAGCAUAUAUAAUGCUUUUUACUUACACUAAAAACAAAGUUUAAUAACUUACUUCGCCCACAUACUAUAAAUCUUUCAAACCAUAAAAUAAUAGAAACAACUAAAAAUUCAGCCAAUAAAAAAAUAAAGUACAGAAAUGGAAAUAAUAAUAAAUAAAAGUAACUUUUAACAACUGUACCUUGUGCAUUAUGGUUUUACAAGAAAUUAAUUAAAGAUUCGAAUCCCGAAUUCUAAAUGAGAUGUUAAACUGCUGCUACGAACCCAUUAAUAGCUGUAGAAAAAGCUUUAAAAGACAGUUUAACAGAGGCUACAUACCAUCCGCAUAAGAAUAUAGCUGGUUUUCAACAAACAUUAUACAUUAAAACAUAUAAUUAUAUUAUAGUGUCAAAUUAUCGAGGAUAAGCCCGAUAAUUCAAGCAAUAACUACACUAAGUCUAUAUUACCCCAUAGGCCUAAAAUCAGCUAACUAAAAUACUUUACCGUAACAAACACAGACAUAAUAUACGACAUAAAUAUGCUAAACAAAGUUGAAAUAAUAAACAAACUACCACUUUCAUAUAUACUAUGUAAAAAUAAGUAUUAUAAAAAUAUAUUAAAAAACAACCCAGAAAGAUAACAACAAACAAAUAAAUAAUAAUUAAUUAAGGAACUCGGCAAACCACUAUUUCGACUGUUUAACAAAAACAUUGUCUCAUGAAUAAAAUAUGAGAUAAUCC
rnacentral:rRNA from 1 species